UAGGGAAUCUUCGGCAAUGGACGAAAGUCUGACCGAGCAACGCCGCGUGAGUGAAGAAGGUUUUCGGAUCGUAAAACUCUGUUGGUAGAGAAGAACGUUGGUGAGAGUGGAAAGCUCAUCAAGUGACGGUAACUACCCAGAAAGGGACGGCUAACUACGUGCCAGCAGCCGCGGUAAUACGUAGGUCCCGAGCGUUGUCCGGAUUUAUUGGGCGUAAAGCGAGCGCAGGUGGUUUAUUAAGUCUGGUGUAAAAGGCAGUGGCUCAACCAUUGUAUGCAUUGGAAACUGGUAGACUUGAGUGCAGGAGAGGAGAGUGGAAUUCCAUGUGUAGCGGUGAAAUGCGUAGAUAUAUGGAGGAACACCGGUGGCGAAAGCGGCUCUCUGGCCUGUAACUGACACUGAGGCUCGAAAGCGUGGGGAGCAAACAGG
rnacentral:rRNA from 8 species